GACGUAGGGGGCGAGCGUUGUCCGGAUUUAUUGGGCGUAAAGGGCUCGUAGGCGGUUUGGCAAGUCGGAUGUGAAACCUCCAGGCUUAACCUGGAGACGCCAUUCGAUACUGCUAUGACUUGAGUUCGGUAGGGGCGCAUGGAAUAUCCGGUGUAGCGGUGAAAUGCUUAGAUAUCGGAUGGAACACCAGUGGCGAAGGCGGUGCGCUGGGCCGAAACUGACGCUGAUGAGCGAAAGCGUGGGUAGCAAACAGG
rnacentral:rRNA from 1 species